UUUAGUUGUCCCAGUGAGGAUUAUGGCAUUCAGUGUGUACAAGCAACAUGUAAACUUCUAGAGAAGAUCUGCAAAAGAAUUCAUUACUACAGUCAUGCACAAAAUUUCACUGAUAUUCCUGUUGCUUGCAUGAACCUAGUGGCCUCCGUAUCAGGAUUUGCCCAGGUAUUCCAUUCUGCAAUUUUUGUUUUAAAUAGCUCAUUAAAGCCAGUAGAAUUGACUAAAUAUUUGUUCAACCUUAAGGCAAGACAACAAGCUGACACUUUUCCUGAGAAGACUCUUGUGUUACUCAAUGAGGCCAAGAAAUCUGUGAGGACAUGGAUCAGACAAACUUUCAAAGGCAGACUUUUGGACAGUAGCUAUAUGUCGGCUGUCAGCUUCACAACAGAGAUUGAGAUGUGGAAUAAUAUUAUAGCCAUAGAUUUCAUGAGUAAGGACUUCACUAAAGAAUGGAGAGAGACAUUUACACUGGACUUUGAGGGGAAAUACCAGCAGGAAGAUCAUCUCGAUCAAAUUGAGGUUUAUUGCUCAAAGAUUGAGAAACUUAAUGGCUCCCAGCCUUAUUUGGUGGAUAGUGUAGAGAAGUGUGCUCUCCAGGCUGUUACCACAAUAUGCCAGGUAAAGGUCUUUCACUUCAUUCUCACUGACAUCAUGAGUCAUGCAGCUUUAUAUAAAUAUUCAUUAGAAAAUUUAAUAAAAUGGUAUUUGAACCGAAGUCUAGUCCAGGUUGAGGAUUAUUUACCUUUUUGUACCUACAGAAUUUAGUGAAUGCAUGCUGGCUUGAAAUAUUUAAAGAAAUAGUUCGUUAAAAAUUAAAAUGAUGUAAUAAUUUACUCACCCUCAUGUCAUUCUAAGCUUGCUUCUGUGGUGUGCAACAGGAGAAAUUUUGGAUAAUGUUUGUAUUGUUUGUGUGUGUGUGUGUGUGUGUGUGUGUGCUUGUACAACUAUCUUUGUGAGAACCAGUUUGAGUUUAACCAUCAGAGUGAAGACCAAGAAUCUAAAGUGAGGACAUUUUGGCCAGUCGUCACUUUUUGGCCCCCAUUUAAAGGGCUGUUUGACGGUUAAGACUUGGUUUUAGGGUCAAGGUCAGGGUUGAUGUAACGGGAGGAAGGUUAGGACGAUUCCAAGGGCCCUGAUUAGAGAUGUGUGUGUGUUGAGGUUUGAAAUGUUUUGAUGACAUAAUUUUUUGGAGGGAACUAAUCCUUGAAGUUAUAGCACAGGGACAGAAAGUAAUGAGUUUACCAUUCAUUGGGUGAUGAGCAGUGUUUCUGCAAUACAUUAAUCAAUGGUCUUCAUGGUUUUUGUAUUGUUUUUUCCAAGUUGACUGAAAAUGACUGAAAACAGUUGUUAUAGUGUUGUGUGUGUGUGUGGGAUUGAAUAUGGGAAGACACUUACUGAACAGAUCUUUUUAACAGACUAAAUCUGAGGGAAAACUUUUUGAGAGAUUCAAUAAAUUGCGGAUUAACUGGAAAUUUGGAAAGCUUGUAUCUACCAUCAUCCUAAAGUCCUGGCCAAAAGAUGACACAGGAACCUAUCUGCAGGAAGAAGAAGUUGUUCUCAAACAUCUUCUGGGCUGGACUGCAGCUAAGAAUAUCUUUCAGCUUCAUGGUAAUUAUAUGGGUUUCCUCUGCAUGGCAUUGCUGUGUUGUGAGUUUACAACCUUUUUUUAUACAGAAGAAAGAGUCUCAUAUAUAUAUAUAUAUAUAU
ensembl:lncRNA